CUGGCCGUAAACGAUGAACACUAGAUGUUGGGGGAAUCGACCCCCUCGGUGUCGUAGCUAACGCGUUAAGUGUUCCGCCUGGGGAGUACGCACGCAAGUGUGAAACUCAAAGGAAUUGACGGGGGCCCGCACAAGCGGUGGAGUAUGUGGUUUAAUUCGAUGCAACGCGAAGAACCUUACCAAGGCUUGACAUCCUGCGAAUCUCCAAGAAAUUGGAGAGUGCCUUUUGGAACGCAGUGACAGGUGGUGCAUGGCUGUCGUCAGCUCGUGUCGUGAGAUGUUGGGUUAAGUCCCGCAACGAGCGCAACCCACGUUUUUAGUUGCCAGCAUUCAGUUGGGCACUCUAGAAAGACUGCCGGUGACAAACCGGAGGAAGGUGUGGACGACGUCAAGUCAUCAUGCCCCUUACGCCUUGGGCUACACACGUACUACAAUGCUGCGGACAAAGAGUAGCGAUCUUGCGAAAGUUAGCUAAUCUCGUAAACCGUGGCUCAGUUCAGAUCGUAGGCUGCAACUCGCCUACGUGAAGGAGGAAUUGCUAGUAAUCGCAGGUCAGCAUACUGCGGUGAAUACGUUCCCGGGCCUUGUACACACCGCCCGUCACACCAUGGAAGUUGGCCAUGCCCGAAGUCGUUACUCUAACCUUUUGGAAGAGGGCGCCGAAGGCAGGGCUAAUGACUGGGGUGAAGUCGUAACAAGGUAGCCGUAGCGGAAGCUGCGGCUGGAUCACCUCCUAA
rnacentral:rRNA from 1 species